rnacentral:rRNA from 1 species
AUAUGAUGAGUUUCUUCUAACUAGGAUUCGAUUCUGUUCUUAACUGAAUGGAGUAGCUAUCUCUUGAGGUAGUCAAUUGGUUGUUAUGUCUCCACUAUAAGCAGAGAGGGGGUAAAACUCUUGAAGUAAGUUAUGUGGGUAAAGAUAUAGUGAUUAAUUGGAGUUCUAGUUCAUUUACUUUGAGAAAAUUAGAGUGUUUUAAAAGCAGCCUCUUGGGGCACUGAAUACAUUAGCAUGGGAUAAUAGAAUAGGAUCUUCACAAUAUAUUUUAUUGGUUUAAAUUGGAUAUGAAGAUAAUGAUUAAUAGGGGACAGUUGGGGGUAUUCAUAUUGGGUGGUUAGCGGUGAAAUGCUCGGAUCCAUUCAAGAUGAACUAAAGCGAAAGCAUUUACCAAGGAUGUUUUCAUUAAUCAAGAACGAAAGUUAAGGGAUCGAAGACGAUUAGAUACCGUCGUAGUCUUAACUAUAAACUAUGCCGAC